rnacentral:rRNA from 1 species
AUGACAACCUCCCCGAUCCAACGACCGGACCGCCGCCUACUCUCGAUACCCACACGCCGCCGCCGGCAGUGGAUCCGAUGCGUCGCCGCCUGCCCUAGAUCCCCACGCGCCGCCGCCGGCCCUGGCAACCUCUCACGCGCCUCCAUCACUGCUGCCGCUCAUCCUCCCCAUGCCCGACCAACCACCGGCGCAGCCCCGCGCGCUCCGCCGCGGAUCCAACUGCCUCCGCCCACCUGCACCCCGCGCACGGCGCCGCAGAUUCCACCACCGCCUGAUUGCCUUGUCCCGCCAGCAAACUCCGUCGGACUGCUCCCGAGCUCUGCCGCCCUUCUCCACAUGACCCGCCGGCCCCCUGCACCAGCGCCCCUGAUCCCCGAAGCCACCGCCCAGGAGCAUUGUGCCAUUGGCAACGUUUGUAGUACAACACACCAUGCUCCUCAACUCUGGCCUCUGCACCUCCUGGCUUGGCAUCCCUCCCGCGUGAACUUCUCUGGCGCCUCUGACCGACCUUCCCGUCGUCUCAUCCUUGAAUCUGUGAACCACUGUUUCCGGAUCAACUCUACUCCUUCAAGCGACAGGGACCGUGGAGCCAGCACUAUGGCAUCACAAAAAAUGGAAAUAGUGCAGGCAUGUGUUUCUGAGGAUUCGGCAAAUUUCAUCGCCAUCCAUAGGGAGGGACAGCGCCGGGGAGAGCAGCACGGCGACAGUCACGAAGGCCAGAACGUGCAGGAGACGCUCCGGCAAGAGGUCAUGCUCGCCGUCGGCCUCCUCCGCAUCUUCGUCCACGAAUGUUUCCUGCAGGGCUGCGACGUGUCCGUGUACCUCAAGGGCAGCGGCAUGGAGCAGGCCAUGGGACCCAACACCACGAUGUAG